rnacentral:rRNA from 1 species
UACGUAGGGGGCAAGCGUUAUCCGGAUUUACUGGGUGUAAAGGGAGCGUAGACGGCUGUACAAGCCAGAUGUGAAAGCCCGGGGCUCAACCCCGGGACUGCAUUUGGAACUGCGUGGCUUGAGUGUCGGAGAGGCAGGCGGAAUUCCUAGUGUAGCGGUGGAAUGCGUAGAUAUUAGGAGGAACACCAGUGGCGAAGGCGGCCUGCUGGACGAUGACUGACGUUGAGGCUCGAAAGCGUGGGGAGCAAACAGG